AUGAUAGGAGAUGGAGGUAACACCGGAUUUUGGGAAGACUGGUGGAUUGGAUCAGCACCGCUUUGUAAAAAAAAUCCCAGGUUAUAUAAUAUCUGUUUUGAUAAAAAGAAAAUAGUUAAAGAAAUUUUUGAGAAAGGGUUUAAUAACAUAUGCUUUAGAAGGGCCCUGAUAGGAGACUCAAAAGAGCUCUGGGAUCAUAUAAAAGAGGUAUGCAGCUCGGUGGUGUUGAGAGAUACAAAAGAUAAAGUGAAAUGGACUCUGACAAAAAAUGGGAUUUAUACAGUAAAAUCCUUCUACAGACAUCUUGUAGAAAAUGGGAUCAAAUACCCACACUUAUAUAUGUGGAAAAUUAAAAUGCCACCUAGAGUUAAAGUCUUCAUGUGGCUGGCUCUCAAAAACAGCAUUCUCACUAAAGAUAACCUGCUACGUAGGGGUUGGAAAGGUGAUGAAAAUUGUCCAUUCUGUGGGUGUAGAGAGAGUAUUAAUCAUUUGUUUCUGACCUGUUCAGUAGCUAGGUGUGACGUCCGGAUAUUUAAGCUACAGUAA
rnacentral:rRNA from 1 species